rnacentral:rRNA from 1 species
ACGCGAAGAACCUUACCAGGUCUUGACAUCCUUUGACAACCCUAGAGAAGGGCUUUCCCUUCGGGGACAGAGUGACAGGUGGUGCAUGGUUGUCGUCAGCUCGUGUCGUGAGAUGUUGGGUUAAGUCCCGCAACGAGCGCAACCCUUGAUCUUAGUUGCCAGCAUUCAGUUGGGCACUCUAAGGUGACUGCCGGUGACAAACCGGAGGAAGGUGGGGAUGACGUCAAAUCAUCAUGCCCCUUAUGACCUGGGCUACACACGUGCUACAAUGGACAGAACAAAGGGCUGCAAGACCGCAAGGUUUAGCCAAUCCCAUAAAUCUGUUCUCAGUUCGGAUCGCAGUCUGCAACUCGACUGCGUGAAGCUGGAAUCGCUAGUAAUCGCGGAUCAGCAUGCCGCGGUGAAUACGUUCCCGGGUCUUGUACACACCGA